rnacentral:rRNA from 1 species
GUCUUUUAGAAUAUAAUUUAAAGUCUAACCUGCCCACUGAAUUUUUUUGAAGGGCCGCGGUAUUUUGACUGUGCAAAGGUAGCAUAAUCAUUAGUCUUUUAAUUGGAGGCUUGUAUGAAUGGUUGGAUGAAACAUUAACUGUCUCAAUUUAAUAAAAGUAGAAUUUAAUUUUUAAGUUAAAAAGCUUAAAUUUAAUUAGAGGACGAGAAGACCCUAUAGAUCUUUAUAAUUAAUUAUUUUUUUAUUAAUUUAGAAAAUUAAUUAAUAUUAAUUAUUUAAUUAUUUUAUUGGGGUGAUAAAUAAAUUUAGUAAACUUUAUUUAAAUUUAACAUUUAUUUAUGAAUAUUUGAUCCAUUAUUAAUGAUUAAAAGAUUAAGUUACCUUAGGGAUAACAGCGUAAUUUUUUUAGAGAGUUCAUAUCGAUAAAAAAGUUUGCGACCUCGAUGUUGAAUUAAAGGUUAAUUUUAGGUGCAGAAGUUUAAAGUUUUGGUCUGUUCGACCAUUAAAUC